rnacentral:lncRNA from 1 species
CACUAGGCAGACCCCAGUGUUUACUGGUUGAGCAUCUCUGUUUUGCUUUGCAUCUCCUGCAGGACAAAACAUUUUGCAUCAACAAGAAGACCAAAGGCAGAGGGAAACCUGCUUUAAAGCCUUGACUCAGACUUUCUUCCAGGUAUUCAAGGAACUAGUUGCUGUGUUUCCAGCUAUCAUGUAUGCAAACCACCAGUUUGUUAGGGGCCAAGUACAGAGCCAGAAGUGGUUCAAAAACACUGCAUGAGCCUCAGUGCAUGCCCAGAUGCAUCCAAUGAGCUGGGACAUUCCCCAUGAAAUAAACAGGUUAUCACCUCUUUAAUCAGAGUUUAAUCUAGGAUGAUGGACACCUACAGACUGACCAUAUCUACUGCUCUGCUGCUGCAGGGAGUUGCAUCGUUGGAUGCUUUUUAUAUGCUGAUGCAGAUCCCCUUGGCUUCAUGCUUUGAAUGGCAAGAAAAUUCCCUGUGAAUUUCUUGAGCAAUUUUGUUCUUGUCCCUGCUUUGUUCAUCAGCAGAAGGUUUUGACUCUAUCCCCCUUUCUUCAGAAUCGUCAUUAUCUUCCCUCUCAGGAAGACCUGUGAGUCCUCCCAGACCCCUUGGUAACAAAAGGUGGCUUCUAACAACCCUUCAAUUUCCACAGGCCUUGGAGCAGAACCUUACUUCUGUCCAGCAGCAGAGGAUGGAAGAAGAUCCUCAGGGCUCCAGCCUGCUCUUAAAAACGGCUUAUGACCAGAUGCUGCCUUUCAAAGACCUGUCAAACCAUAGGCUAACCGGCCUAUUCUGCACGUGGAGAUUUGAACAGAAGAUGUCCAUGCAGACCCUGAUGCAUCUUCUUCAGAAAGAACAUGGAGAAGGUGAAGGAAACCGCUACCCUAUUCUUCUGGAGCUUGUGUCUAAGCUCCAGAAUAUCCAGCGCAUCCAGCACCUGCCUGACAUUUUCAGUCUGCAGAAAACCCUGAUCCACUUCUUCUAAAACAGCCAUGGAGGGGAAAGAUAUUCGGUACAACAGUUCAUAGACCAACAUGAACUUUCAGGUACAGUAUGGACAUCUUUCCAUC